rnacentral:rRNA from 1 species
UGGGGAAUUUUGGACAAUGGGCGAAAGCCUGAUCCAGCAAUGCCGCGUGUGUGAAGAAGGCCUUCGGGUUGUAAAGCACUUUUGUCCGGAAAGAAAUCCUUGGCUCUAAUACAGUCGGGGGAUGACGGUACCGGAAGAAUAAGCACCGGCUAACUACGUGCCAGCAGCCGCGGUAAUACGUAGGGUGCAAGCGUUAAUCGGAAUUACUGGGCGUAAAGCGUGCGCAGGCGGUUUGCUAAGACCGAUGUGAAAUCCCCGGGCUCAACCUGGGAACUGCAUUGGUGACUGGCAGGCUAGAGUAUGGCAGAGGGGGGUAGAAUUCCACGUGUAGCAGUGAAAUGCGUAGAGAUGUGGAGGAAUACCGAUGGCGAAGGCAGCCCCCUGGGCCAAUACUGACGCUCAUGCACGAAAGCGUGGGGAGCAAAACAGGAUUAGUACCCUGGUAGUCCCACGCCCUAAAACCGAUGUCAACUAGUUGUUGGGGAUUCAUUUCCUUAGUAACGUAGCUAACGCGUGAAGUUGACCGCCUGGGGAGUACGGUCGCAAGAUU